AAACGAGUUAUUAAGGGCGCGUGGUGGAUGCCUUGGCGCCGAGAGCCGAAGAAGGACGUGGUGGGCUGCGAAAAGCUACGGGGAGUCGCCUGCAGGCCUUGAUCCGUAGAUAUCCGAAUGGGGCAACCCGGCCGGGGUCAUGCCCGGUCACCGCUACCUGAAUAUAUAGGGUAGCUGGGGGUAAGUGGGGGAACUGAAACAUCUAAGUACCCCGAGGAAGAGAGAUUAUUCCCUGAGUAGUGGCGAACGAAAGGGGAGGAGCCCAAACCCAACUGGUGUAAGGUUGCAGCCGUUGCCAGUUGGGGGUUGUGGGGCCGCAGAGGGGUCUUCUGCGAGAGACCCGGGUGGAUAGUCAACUUAGCUGAAGGCUCUGGAAAGGGCCGCGACACAGGGUGAGAGCCCCGUAGGUGAAGGGUUGGCUAGACCGCCUGUCUGAGGAACCCGAGUACCACGGACCACGUGGAAUUCCGUGGGAAGCUGGGGAGACCACUCUCCAAGGCUAAAUACUCUCGGCGACCGAUAGUGAACUAGUACCGUGAGGGAAAGGUGAAAAGCACCCCGGAAGGGGGAUGAAAAGAACCUGAAACCAUGCGCUUACAAGCAGUCGGAGGGGGAGACCCUGACGGCGUGCCUAUUGAAGAAUGAACCGGCGAGUUACUCUGUGUGGCGGGUUAAGCGCGUAGAGGCGCGGAGCCGCAGCGAAAGCGAGUCCGAACAGGGCGUUAGUCGUACGGAGUAGACCCGAAACCGGGUGAGCUACCCAUGGCCAGGCUGAAGCUCUGCUAAACCGGAGUGGAGGGCCGAACCUUUGUAUGUUGCAAAAUGCUAGGAUGAGCUGUGGGUAGAGGUGAAAUGCCAAACGAACCCGGAGAUAGCUGGUUCUCCCCGAAAUGCAUUUAGGUGCAGCCUCGGGUGUAUCCUUCUGGGGGUAGAGCACUGAAUGGGCUAGGGGGCGCGAGCUUACCAAACCUAAUCAAACUCCGAAUACCAGGAGGACUUGCCCGGGAGUGAGACGGCGGGUGCUAAGAUUCGUCGUCGAGAGGGAAACAGCCCAGACCGCCGGCUAAGGUCCCUAAGUCCAGGCUAAGUGUUAAAGGAUGUGGGAUUACCGAAACAGCCAGUAUGUUGGCUUAGAAGCAGCCACCAUUUAAAGAGUGCGUAACAGCUCACUGGUCGAGUGAUCCCGCGCCGACAAUGUAUCGGGGCUCAAGCCUGGCACCGAAGCCGCGGAUCCUUUAAGGGUGGUAGGGGAGCGUCGUAGCUGCGUUGAAGCCUCGCUGUAAGGGGGGGUGGAGGGGCUACGAGUGAGAAUGCCGGUAUGAGUAGCAGAAGGCGUGUGAGAAACACGCCCACCGAAUGCCCAAGGUUUCCGACGGAAGGUGAGUCCACGUCGGGUUAGUCGGGCCUAAGCCGAGGGCGAAUGCCGUAGGCGAUGGACAAACGGUUUAUAUUCCGUUACCGCUUGCAGAUGAUAAAGUCCCGUUUGGGGGACGCUGUGGGGUAGGCCGGGGGUGGCGUUGGAGAUGCCGCCUCCAAGCGCGCAGGCUCUUUCGGGGGCCGAGGCGUGGGGCAGCUGCGGGGCAACCCAAGGCGAUCCGGCUGAUCCCUGGGGCCAAGAAAAGCCCAUGCGGGGAAGCUGCAGGCGCCCGUACCGCAAACCGACACAGGUGGGCGGGGGUAAGUACCCUAAGGUGGACGGGAGACCCCUCGUUAAGGAACUCGGCAAAUUAGCCCCGUAACUUCGGGAGAAGGGGCGCCCUCUGGGGUGAUCUUUUAGUAGUGAGCCCUGGGGGGCCGCAGUGAGCAGGCCCAGGCGACUGUUUAACAAAAACACAGGUCCCUGCCAAAGCGAGAGCUGAUGUAUAGGGGCUGACGCCUGCCCGAUGCCGGAAGGUUAAGGGGAGAGGUGAUGAGCUUUGAACCGAAGCCCCGGUCAAUGGCGGCCGUAACUAUAACGGUCCUAAGGUAGCGAAAUUCCUUGUCGGGUAAGUUCCGACCCG
rfam:Clostridiales bacterium PH28_bin88 ph28_1307, whole genome shotgun sequence.